AACGAACGCUGGCGGCAUGCCUAACACAUGCAAGUCGAACGAGACCUUCGGGUCUAGUGGCGCACGGGUGCGUAACGCGUGGGAACCUGCCCUUAGGUUCGGAAUAACUCCCCGAAAGGGGUGCUAAUACCGGAUAAUGUCUUCGGACCAAAGAUUUAUCGCCUUUGGAUGGGCCCGCGUUGGAUUAGCUAGUUGGUAGGGUAAAAGCCUACCAAGGCGACGAUCCAUAGCUGGUCUGAGAGGAUGAUCAGCCACACUGGGACUGAGACACGGCCCAGACCCCUACGGGAGGCAGCAGUGGGGAAUAUUGGACAGUGGGCGAAAGCCUGAUCCAGCAAUGCCGCGUGAGUGAUGAAGGCCUUAGGGUUGAAAAGCUCUUUUACCCGGGAUGAUAAUGACAGUCCCGGGAGAAUAAGCUCCGGCUAACUCCGU
rnacentral:rRNA from 1 species